GACUAUACUGUCUGAACAUGCUGGUUCUUGUCUGAUCCUCAAAGCUAAUCAGGUUUGAGCCUGGUUACUAUUUGGAUGGGAGGCCAUCUGGUAAUACUGGGAGCUGUAGGCU
rnacentral:rRNA from 1 species